UACAGAGGGUGCAAACGUUGUUCGGAAUUACUGGGCGUAAAGCGCGUGUAGGCGGCCUCGUGUGUCGGGCGUGAAAUCCCACGGCUCAACCGUGGAAGUGCACUCGAAACUGCAAGGCUGGAGUACUGGAGAGGAUGGUGGAAUGCUCGGUGUAGAGGUGAAAUUCGUAGAUAUCGAGCGGAACACCGGUGGCGAAGGCGGCCAUCUGGACAGUCACUGACGCUGAGACGCGAAAGCGUGGGGAGCAAACAGGAUUAGAAACCCCUGUAGUCC
rnacentral:rRNA from 1 species